AUACGUAGGGUGCAAGCGUUAAUCGGAAUUACUGGGCGUAAAGCGUGCGCAGGCGGUUUUGGAAGACAGAGGGGAAAAUCCCGGGCUCAACCUGGGAAGUGCCUUUGUGCAUGCAAGGCGAGCGUGCGGCAGAGGGGGAUGGAAUUCCGGGUGUAGCCGGGAAAUGCGUAGAUAUGCGGAGGAACACCGAUGGCGAAGGCAAUCCCCUGGGCCUGUACUGACGCUCAUGCACGAAAGCGUGGGGAGCAAACAGGAUUAGAUACCCUGGUAGUCCACGCCCUAAACGAUGUCAACUGGUUGUUGGGUCUUCAUUGACUCAGUAACGAAGCUAACGCGUGAAGUUGACCGCCUGGGGAGUACGGCCGCAAGGUUGAAACUCAAAUGAAUUGACGGG
rnacentral:rRNA from 1 species